rnacentral:rRNA from 1 species
UACGGAGGGGGCUAGCGUUGUUCGGAAUUACGGGGCGUAAAGGGCGCGCAGGCGGCUGCUCAAGUCAGGCGUGAAAGGCCUGGGCUCAACCCGGGAAUUGCGCUUGAGACUGAGCUGGCUUGAGUGCGGGAGAGGAUGGUGGAAUUCCCAGUGUAGAGGUGAAAUUCGUAGAUAUUGGGAAGAACACCGGUGGCGAAGGCGGCCAUCUGGACCGUAACUGACGCUGAGGCGCGAAAGCGUGGGGAGCAAACAGG